UGACCACUUUCCGGUCAGACGGAGAGUUAAGCCCAGACGGACAGGCGGGUCAGUUGCCGA
rnacentral:sRNA from 1 species